UUCAGAGGCUUUGCGAAUUACCCAUUAGAUGAAGUGUUAGUAGCUUAUGGUUGUUCAGCAUAUGUCCUGGAAGAAGGACAUACCUGCAUCCUAAAAUCUGUAUUCUGCCUAAAGAGGAGCAGCUAUUGCUGACCUGCAAGACCGGGUUUGGAAUAAAUGAUGGAGUUUCACACAAAGAAACCCUGGGCAAGAAUGAUGAUGGAGGUCGUUCUGUUCACAAGGAAGACAGCAAAGGCCCAGGCGUGCACAUUUACGGGAAGGGCAUGAAAUACAAGGUUAGCAAGCUCUGUCUUAAGUCGAAUUACAGAUGGUUUUUCAUUACCUUUUUUAAAAUGUCUGGAGAAACAGCUCAACUUUCCAAGUGGAAUUAUUGAAACAAUUCAGGGUAAGAAGUAAAAUCUUCCACUUUUUCCAAGCCAUCAAUUCUUCAUGCAUUACUAUAAGUUCUCAUAAGUUUAGUUAUUGCUCUCCUGUUCCCUCCCUUCCUGGCCUGAAUUUUUUUUUCCUUUUUUAGCCUCACUGGCAGCAUAUAGAAGUCCUUGGGCCAGGGAUUGAAUCUGAGUCGUGCUAGGCCACAGCUGGGGCAACACCAGAUUCUUAACCCACUGCCCUGAGCCAGAGGAGAUCGAACCUGUGCCUUCACAGACAGGACCCAGAUCAUUAACCCACAGUGGGAACUCUUGCACUUUUGUGAUUAAGAAGGCUCAAGAGACACCAUUCCUUCCUCUGAUUGGGUCGUGGUAGGCCAAAGGCAAGGGGGUGGGGAAAGGAGAGAGGACUAGGCAGUCGCGUUGAAAUGACAUCUGAUUUUACUGUCCACUUUACAUAGUUGUCAUUUUUCAUGCUGGUGUCUUUAAUUCCUAUAUCUAACUCUGAUGGUGCUUUCUAUAACAUCGCUCUAAGAAACACGAAAUCUUAAUUUUUUUUUUUUCUUUUUAGGUCCAUACCUGUGGCAUAUGGAAGUUCCCAGGCUUGGGGUUGAAUUCGAACUGCAGCUGCUGGCCUACACCACAGCCACAGCAACGCAGGAUCCAAGCCAAGUCUGUGAGCUAUACCACAGCUCACAGCAACCCUAGAUCCUUAAUCCACUGAGCAGGGCUGGGAUAGAACCUGCAUCCUCAUGGAUACUAGUCGGGUACAUUACCACUGAGCCACAAUGGAAACUCCAUGAAAAAUUUAAGAUUUCUAGAGA